rnacentral:pre_miRNA from 1 species
CAACUACUCCCUCCAUCCGGAAAUACUUGUCAUCAAAACGGAUAAAAGGAAAUGUAUCUAGACGUAUUUUAGUUUUAGAUACAUCUCUUUUUAUCCAUUUUGAUGACAAGUAUUUUUGGACGGAGGGAGUAUUUA